CAGACGUUGGACGCGUAUAAGGCCUCGUGCGCGCCACCGUAUCAGUUUUGCAGAUGGCAGGUCUGAGAACUAUGGAGACCGUCCGCGUGCAUGGCGCAAUUUGGUUAUAGAAAUGGCCAUUCUUGUCCGCAAAACGGACCACAAUAGGACGUGCUCUAUAUAUGGUGGGACGGCGGCAGGGAUGCGGAUGGCACGCGGAAGACGUCCAUGUGAGGUCUGCUUUCUUUCAGACCCAUAGAAAUGAAUGAGCCUGCAGGCCAUCUGUAAAAAAAAGGAGUGGAUCAGAUGGAGGCCAGAAAUACGGUCGUCUGCAUGAGGCCUGAAGGACUGCUAGCCAAAGCUUUGGAAUAUGCAGGAGACACUGAAGAGAGAAGGCAUGGAGCAAAUAUAAAGUGGAUUCCAACUAAGGACGCAGAGUGGGAGAGCCGCUGAGGUCACCUCCUCCAUUGGGCACAUGAUGCCAUACUCUUCACAGCCAUUCUCCUGAACCAGAGGAUCCGUCUUGUGAGGGUCAAACAUUAUAUUAUUUGGCGUCACCAGGAGAACACCGCUG